CAAGUCGAACGCGAAAGUCCCGCAAGGGAUCGGUAGCGUGGCAAACGGGUGAGUAACACGUGGGUGACCUGCCUUCGAGUGGGGGAUAACGUCCCGAAAGGGACGCUAAUACCGCAUGACAUCCUGCCUUUGAAGAGGCGGAGAUCAAAGCUGGGGAUCGCAAGACCUAGCGCUUGAAGAGGGGCCCGCGCCUGAUUAGCUAGUUGGUGGGGUAAUGGCUCACCAAGGCAACGAUCAGUAUCCGGCCUGAGAGGGCGGACGGACACACUGGGACUGAGACACGGCCCAGACUCCUACGGGAGGCAGCAGUGGGGAAUUGUUCGCAAUGGGCGCAAGCCUGACGACGCAACGCCGCGUGGAGGAUGAAGACCUUCGGGUCGUAAACUCCUUUCGAUCGAGACGAAUGGCUUCCGGGCUAACAUCCUGGGAGAAUGACGGUACCGAGAGAAGAAGCCCCGGCUAACUCCGUGCCAGCAGCCGCGGUAAUACGGGGGGGGCAAGCGUUGUUCGGAAUUACUGGGCGUAAAGGGCUCGUAGGCGGCCAACUAAGUCAGACGUGAAAUCCCUCGGCUUAACCGGGGAACUGCGUCUGAUACUGGAUGGCUUGAGUUUGGGAGAGGGAUGCGGAAUUCCAGGUGUAGCGGUGAAAUGCGUAGAUAUCUGGAGGAACACCGGUGGCGAAGGCGGCAUCCUGGACCAACACUGACGCUGAGGAGCGAAAGCCAGGGGAGCAAACGGGAUUAGAUACCCCGGUAGUCCUGGCCCUAAACCAUGAAUGCUUGGUGUGGCGGGUAUCGAUCCCUGCCGUGCCGAAGCUAACGCAUUAAGCAUUCCGCCUGGGGAGUACGGUCGCAAGGCUGAA
rnacentral:rRNA from 1 species